rnacentral:rRNA from 1 species
CAGGGUUCGACUUAACUCCAACCCCUGUGACAUACCAAUUGUUGCCUCGGCGGAUCAGCCCGCUCCCGGUAAAACGGGACGGCCCGCCAGAGGACCCCUAAACUCUGUUUCUAUAUGUAACUUCUGAGUAAAACCAUAAAUAAAUCAAAACUUUCAACAACGGAUCUCUUGGUUCUGGCAUCGAUGAAGAACGCAACAAAAUGCGAUAAGUAAUGUGAAUUGCACAAUUCAGUGAAUCAUCGAAUCUUUGAACGCACAUUGCGCCCGCCAGUAUUCUGGCGGGCAUGCCUGUUCGAGCGUCAUUUCAACCCUCAAGCCCCCGGGUUUGGUGUUGGGGAUCGGCGAGCCCUUGCGGCAAGCCGGCCCCCAAAUCUAGUGGCGGUCUCGCUGCAACUUCCAUUGCGUAUUAGAAAAACCCUCGAAACUGGUACGCGGCGCGCCCAAGCCGUUAAACCCCCGACUUCUGAAUGUUGACCUCGGAUCAGGUAGGAAUACCCGCUAAUCUUUUCAUAUCAAUAAGUCGUAGGAAAUUUCAUCUCUUUCGCCCUUGAAAUCAGUGAAGCUUUAUCAGCUUGUGUCAUCGUGACAUAAAACCUAGAAGGGUCCAGGUCAACCAGAGUCACACUUGCGACGGCACGAGAUGUAACAGAUCUCUUCACUUUAGAUUGAGAAACCCAA